GACGAACGCUGGCGGCGUGCCUAACACAUGCAAGUCGAACGGAAAGGUCCUGCUCUUGUGGGUUGCUCGAGUGGCGAACGGGUGAGUAACACGUGAGUAACCUGUCCCUGUCUUUGGGAUAACUUCAGGAAACUGGGGCUAAUACCGGAUAUGAGCUCCUGCUGCAUGGUGGGGUAUGGAAAGUUUCGGCGGUUGGGGAUAGACUCGCGGCUUACCCGCCUGUUGGUGGGGUAGUGGCUUACCAAGGCUUUGACGGGUAGCCGGCCUGGGAGGGUGACCGGCCACAUUGGGACUGAGGUACGGCCCAGACGCCUACGGGAGGCAACAGUGGGGAAUAUUGCACAAUGGGCGGGAGCCUGAUGCGACAACGCCGCGUGCGGAAUGACGGCCUUCGGGUUAUAAACCGCUUUCGCCUGUGACGAAGCGUGAGUGACGGUAAUGGGUAAAGAAGCACCGGCUAACUACGUG
rnacentral:rRNA from 1 species